GACGAACGCUGGCGGCGUGCUUAACACAUGCAAGUCGAACGGAAAGGCGCUGAUCUUGUGGGGUGCUCGAGUGGCGAACGGGGGAGUAAAACGUGUGUAACAUGCACCUGACUUUGGGAUAAAAUCAGGAAAAUCGGGCUAAUACAGGGUAGGAGCUCCUGCUGCACGGUGGGGGUUGGAAAGUUUCGGCGGUUGGGGAUGGACUGGCGGCUUAUCGGCUUGUUGGUGGGGUAGUGGCUUACAAAGGCUAUGACGGGUAGCCGGCCUGAGAGGGUGACCGGCCACAAUGGGACUGCGGGACGGCCCAGUCGGCUACGGGAGGCAGCAGUGGGGAAUAUUGCGCAGUGGGCGGAAGCCUGUUGCAGCAACGCCGCGUGCGGAAUGACGGCCUACGGGGGAUAAACCGCUUUCGCCGUUGACGAAGCGUGAGUGACGGUAAUGGGUAAAGAAGCACCGGCUAACUACGUG
rnacentral:rRNA from 1 species